rnacentral:rRNA from 1 species
UGGGGAAUUUUGCACAAUGGGGGAAACCCUGAUGCAGCGACGCCGCGUGAUUUAGAAGGCCUUCGGGUUGUAAAAAUCUUUUGUAUGGGAAGAAAAUGACAGUACCAUACGAAUAAGGACCGGCUAAUUACGUGCCAGCAGCCGCGGUAAUACGUAAGGUCCGAGCGUCGUCCGGAAUCAUUGGGCGUAAAGGGUACGUAGGCGGAUAAGCAAGUUAGAAGUGAAAUCCUAUAGCUCAACUAUAGUAAGCUUUUAAAACUGCUCAUCUUGAGGUAUGGAAGGGAAAGUGGAAUUCCUAGUGUAGCGGUGGAAUGCGCAGAUAUUAGGAGGAAUACCGGUGGCGAAGGCGACUUUCUGGCCAUAAUCUGACGCUGAGGUACGAAAGCGUGGGUAGCAAACAGG